rnacentral:misc_RNA from 1 species
UCUCCGUAGGUGAACCUGCGGAGGGAUCAUUACCGAGUGAGGGCUCCGGCCCGACCUCCAACCCUUUUGACGUUACCAUCUCAGUUGCCUCGGGGGGCGACCCGUACUCGGUCGAGGACGGGCCACCCCCGGUGGACCACCCAACCCUGCAUCGUUGCGUCUGAGUCGAAAUAUAAAUCAAUCAAAACUUUCAACAACGGAUCUCUUGGUUCUGGCAUCGAUGAAGAACGCAGC